GUUCUCGUGAUAGUGAGUGAGUUCUCAGGAGAUCUGAUGGUUUUAUAAGGGGCUUCCUCCUUCACUCAGCACUCACUUCUCUCACCUGCCAUCAUGUAAUACAUGCUUGUUUCACCUUCUGCCUUGAUUGUAAGUUUUCUGAAGCCUUCCUAGCCAUGCGGAACUACAGAACAGAGUUUUGGAAUCAGAGAAGGAGACAAAUGAUUCCAAGGACGUUAAAAGAGAAGAAAAGCUAAUGCACACAAUUGGUGUAAAUUCUCUCCCAUUGCACCAAAACAGGAAGCAUGUCUACUAUUCCCUCUCUUUACUGUCCCAAGUUAAAUGGAACAAAAGAAAAACCUCGCCGGGGCGCGGUGGCUCACACCGGUAAUCUCAACGCUUUGGGAGGCCGAGGCGGGAGGAUCACGAGGUCAGGAGUUUGACCAGCCUGGCCAACAUAGUGAAACCCUGUCUCUACUAAAAAUACAAAAAUUAGCCAAGAGUGGUGGCACACGUCUCUAGUACCAGCUACUCGGGAGGCUGAGGCAGGAGAAUCACUUGAACCCAGGCCGAGAUCAUGCCACAGCACUCCAGCCUGGGCAACGGAGCGAGACUCUGUCUCAAAACAAAAAGAGAAAGAAAAAAAAGAAAAAUCUCUGCCAGUUACUGUGCGGCAUGACCUUGGACACUUUAUUGCUCCACUCUGAGCACCAGGGCCCUCUUAUGGAAAAUGUCUGUUUCCCCGGUAUUUGUAAGGAUAGAACAAGUGGACAAAUGGAACUCUCCUAUGCAAUGCGGUGAGAGCACACAGUCAGAGUUUGGUGAUUGUUCUCUUCUCCCUUUCUAUUUAUGGCUCCUAGCCCUCACUGCUUCACUCCUUGAUAUUCAUAAUGUCUUGACUUUAUCAGCACAAUGAUGUGCUUUGGGUUAGGAGAUAAAAAGGUUGAGACAUAUUCCAGGCUAUGCUGCUCACUAUGAAUGGUUCAGUUUUGGAUCUGAGUUUGCUGGUAUAUUUGUUUCCCACAUUUACACUGUUGAUACAACUGUGAAUUGAAAAAAACCUCUACCAUGAUAUUCUGCAUUUAAGAAAUCACCUUUGUUGUUAUUGUUUAUAUUAUAAAGUUAUUGCUUGCUUAAUAUUUUAAUUGAGAUUUUAAAAAGACAAGUAUAACAAAAACAAAAAUUAGUCAUAAUUCCAGCUUAUUAUUAACAUUCUGAUAUAUUUUUUUCUGGCCUCUAUGUGUCCAUACAUGCAACAUAUAUAGAGAUGGAUAUAGAUACACACAAAAAUACCAUAUACAUACAUAUACAUGUUACAUGCCUGUAUGUGAAAAUGUAUAUUUUCAAAUAUGCAUAAAUGUACAUAUAAAUACAUACACAUAUAUAUGUAUACACACAUAUAUUAACAUGCAAAUAUAUACUGUAUAUGUAAAUAGUGGAUAUGUAUGUGUGUAUGACCUAAUAGAUUGUUUCCAUUCCAUUUUUUUCUGUAUUAUUAAUAAUGUUAUAACCUAGAUAUUAUCAUCUUUCAUCUCAAUUUGUAUUGUAACCAUAAGGUGGAUUUCAAAAAGUAGACCCAUGAGUCCUAGGCAGUCUAAUAUUUAGUUCUUAUGGAUUCAAAUGGUGCAUCUGUCAGGAUUUCUUUGGGCUGCUCAGUGGUAAUGACGUAUCAACGGUUUAAUAUUUUGAAUUGAAACUAUUUUCUAAGGUUAUGGACAUUUUAAAUGCGUUGCUUUUCAAAAGAGAUUUUUACAUUUCAAUUUGCAUGACCAAGCUGAGCUGGGAAAAUAAAAUCUACCAGGUUAUCUUGGAGCUCUCUGCUCGCAAGCACAUGAACCACAAGUUUAUCAUGGGGGAUUAAUCAAUAGAAUAGAAGGUACAAAUAUUAAAUUUGUAGAUUACUCACAAAAUUGAAAAUCUCCCUAAAAAAAGCAUUGUUUCUGGUGCAUUUCCAUAUCCCAGGCUCACACCAGGCACCCAGAGAACCAAAUGUUCCUUGUGUUCUGUAGUCUCCCACCAGUCCAGCCCUGUGGACCCUACUCCCCGCUGUAUGGGGUCACCAGUCUUGGUUUCUGAUGUCAAACACACCCUCAUCACCAUUCCCAACUUACCUUGGUUCUUCAGAAUCUACUCCACUCUUACUUGCCGAGCAAAGAGGCCCCAUUUUUAGGUCUUCUUUGUGAACUGCCACCUUACUUUGCCUCUCCUCUCUCUAAAGAGUUGAAGGUCCAAUUCAUGCCAUGCAAGGCAGCACACAAAAUACCUUUAUCUUAGCUCCCCUUCACAAGACUUCACUGAUUCUUAUCUUAGAGCAGGCUUGUUUUCCAAUUAGUGGCUAAUAGACAAAACUAUCUGGAUACCCUCAGAAAAAUGUAAAAGGGUACUGCUAUUUUGAUCUGCAAAAAAUAAAAAUAAAAAAUAUAUA
rnacentral:lncRNA from 1 species